rnacentral:rRNA from 1 species
UACGUAGGGGGCAAGCGUUGUCCGGAAUCAUUGGGCGUAAAGCGCGUGUAGGCGGUUUCGUAAGUCUGCUGUGAAAGCCGGAGGCUCAACCUUCGAAAGCCGGUGGAUACUGUGAGACUUGAGUACGGAAGAGGAGAGUGGAAUUCCUGGUGUAGCGGUGAAAUGCGCAGAUAUCAGGAGGAACACCAACGGCGAAGGCAGCUCUCUGGGACGUUACUGACGCUGAGACGCGAAAGCGUGGGGAGCAAACAGG